UGUUUAUAUUCAAAAUGAUCACCAAAUUAUCAGUCUAUCAUGUUAUACUCAUCUUGCUAUGUAUAAUGGUAAGCAGUCAUAGUAUGGAUGCAUAGAUAACAAUAUGUAUUAGUAUAUUGCAAUUUAUACCCUUCAAAAUAUUGUCAUAAACAUUGGACUUGAAGGAAAAGUCUCACACACUGUAGUUCAGAAAUUAAGAUCCGAAACACCGCCAUACAGGUGAACGAAUCACACAGCAAUGACUGAUCUGAAGACUUGUGAAGGAGAAGGCCUGCCAUUAGUGUGGACACAGUUGCUUAAAGACUUCACCGUGUGUGCUUUGAUUUCUGUCCACCUGCAAGCUCAACAGGACUGCUAACCAUCCUCCCAUCCCUUCCUUUAUCAUCUCAAGCGGUGACUCUGUUAUGGAGGUUUAGCAACAAGGUCACAUGAGGCCACCACGGACGAGGGCUAAUCGGCCUGAGGUGAUAACACGUCGCACCAGGAUUGUUGCAUAUCACGAGGCAGGGAAGGGGAUACAGGAGAUUAGUUGCCUUCUCGGUAUCUCCAGAGAUACUGUUAGGCUUUGGGUGAGGCGACAUCAAGAGGAGGGUCACGUGCUCACCAGGAGGGACAAGAGUCACCACGCCUGAGGAGGAUCAACAGAUACGAAGGGAAGCAGAGAGAACACCACUCUCAUCUGCCGAGCUCAUAACAAGAACAGGGGUUCACUGUCACCCGAUAACUACCAGGAGACGAAUACGGGUGACUAGCUGACAGUGUUUUAUCCCAGAAAUUAAGGAAACCUUAAUAGCGGCACACAGAGAAGUACUUAAAAGGUUUGCAGAGAUGUAUGCGGAUGAAGGGAUUGAUUUUUGGAGGUCUGUCAUUUUCACCGAUGAAAAAUGUUUCACAUCUGUCGCAGCAGUCGGUCAACAGUGUUGGCGAAUACAUAAUACAAGAUAUGCUCGAAGAAACAUCCAUGAGACAUUGACAAGCGGCCGUAUGAAAACCUCCAAGAAUGGAUGGAUGUGGUGGGGAGGUGUAGGUGAACUGACGGAUAUUGAGGGACAUAUGACUGUAGACCAGUAUACGUGGUCCCUCGAUUAAAGAACACAAUUGAUUCCACAGAGUCGGUUGUUAACCGAAAUUUUUUUUUAACUGAAUAUAUCAUUUAUGUCAAUGGGAUAUUGGGUAAUUGGUUCCAAC